UCCUACGGGAGGCAGCAGUGGGGAAUAUUGCACAAUGGGGGAAACCCUGAUGCAGCCAUGCCGCGUGUGUGAAGAAGGCCUUCGGGUUGUAAAGCACUUUCAGUAGGGAGGAAGGUAGUAGUAGUUAACACCUGCACUAUUUGACGUUACCUACAGAAGAAGCACCGGCUAACUCCGUGCCAGCAGCCGCGGUAAUACGGAGGGUGCGAGCGUUAAUCGGAAUUACUGGGCGUAAAGCGCAUGCAGGCGGCCUGUUAAGUCAGAUGUGAAAGCCCGGGGCUUAACCUCGGAAUUGCAUUUGAAAACUGGCAGGCUAGAGUCUUGUAGAGGGGGUAGAAUUUCAGGUGUAGCGGUGAAAAUGCGUAGAGAUCUGAAGGAAUACCAGUGGCGAAGGCGGCCCCCUGGACAAAGACUGACGCUCAGAUGCGAAAAGCGUGGGGAGCAAACAGGAUUAGAUACCCUGGUAG
rnacentral:rRNA from 1 species